GGUGAUUUAUUAAUGAAAUCAAAUAUCUGAGCAACUAGGCUUGUUAUGUCACUAUAAUACAUAUAUAUAAUAUACUGCUAGAAAUAAGGGAAAUAACUGUCAUCUGAAUUCUUAACAAGAAAAUUUGCAUACAAGGAUAUUUGCAUAGACCGGUCUCUAAACAAUGCAUUUGUGUAGUGUUUUUAUACUAAUGCUGACUUACCUAAACAUCAGGUAAAUUUCUUCCCAUAAAGAUUUCAUCCAACCAUGGCUCUAUUAACCUUAUUUGUAUUUUGCAAUUUAUACUCCGUUGUGAAGUUUCUUUUUUUCAGUUUAUUUCUUUCAAUAUAUAUUCUAAAUUUCUGCACAUAAACGUUAGACAUGAAACCCUAUUGAGGAAUGGACAUUUCAUUUUUAACUCCCAGCUUUCAUGUUAUUGUAUUUCUCGCUACAUUGAAGACCUGUUGGUGACCUUCUGUUGUUUUUUCUAUGGUCGGGUUGUUGUCUCUUUGACACAUUCCCCAUUUCCAUUCUCAAUUUUAUCUGCUUAGUUUAUUUAUUGACCAUGUUCAACAUUAUAUUAUGAUAUCUAUUAAAAAUAGUUUGAAGCUUUCCCUCCACACCAAAUAUAUAAGCAACACUCAAAUGGCACUAAAAUGAGCAUUUAAUCCUUGCCUUAUAAAGCUUCAAAGUCAGCUAGUUCAACAAUCUGGUACAAACCUAAUACAAAAUACAAUAAUAAAUUGUGUCCCUGUAAGAAUAAUCUGCAACUUGCACUUAUCAUUUGAAUGUGUCAUGAUGACAUUGCUUUGCAUAAAAUUGACAACUUAUUAAAGUAUUCAAGAACUGUUGCAUCAUAAAAUAUUUUGGUUAAAUCAACAAUAUUAUUGUUAACUACUAUUAACUUUUGAAACUCGGUUAACUUUUUGUUAGUUUUUGAUUUAUACUUUAA
rnacentral:lncRNA from 1 species